GGGUGUACUGUAAAUUCUUACAUCAAUGAUAAUAGCAGCUCUACCUCUGUUGUGACAUUGGAUGUGCAGUCUGCCCUUGCUCCAUUUGAGGUAAGAAUGCUUCCAUACAAAUGCACACUACAUUUCAAAAUGGCUGGACUAAUAAUCAGACUAUCUCUGUUGUAUACUGAGUGGCGAGUGCAUUGUAUAGCAGCGUGGUUGUGAACUUGUGAUAACAAUCAAAUUUACAAGAUGCGCGAGCCGCCCUUGUGCAGCCACCGAUGGCCGCUGGUUUCGGCGUCAUUUGGGAGGCCCAUGGGUGGCAUUGAUGAGGGCAUGGUUGGAGGGGAUGCGCCCUCGCCGGCUCCAGGAGCAGUCCUCUGCCGUGGAGCCGCUCGCCGCUGGGCCUUCGCCACCGCCGGGACUUGCUAAUGACCGAGCUUUGGGACAUGGGACAUACACUGCAAUGGGAUAGUUUUGUAUAUGGCUUAAUAUGUGGGAACUCUCUCCUCAUGUGCUUUUUAUUCUUGGUAUGCUCCCAUAUGAGUGCAGCUAUCUUUGGAAGAGCUUGUGAAGAUAUGUCGGGACAGCAGGGCCCUCGGAGCGCGGCUUACAAGGGUGGGGCGGCUGUGCAGUUGUCUUGGUCAAGGAGGGCAUUGUCCCUUAGUUCAUUCUUUAAUUUGAAGGAGAAAUACUCAAAUCAAGGAUUGACUGGCGAGUGAUGAAGCAGAGCGAUCUCGGGCCGUACGUGUUCGCGUCGAAGCUGUUGAGUGGUGUAGCCAUAUUGAAGUUGUAGACAGAGGGAGGUUGUUGUUCGAGACAAUAGGGAAAGGUGGAUGAUAGUAGCAAAUCAGAGCAUGUGUUGUCGUUGCGGGAUGGUGAACGCCUGUGAGUUUCCUCUUUUGCAAAUUUAACCAAGUAUUGAGGAAGACGUGUUGCUCGAGCUCUACAAGAGGAUUGGCCACUCCAUCACCAAUGACAUGAAGAUCCGUAAGGACCAUCCCGAUGAACAUGCUGAAGGAACACACAUGCUCUCCACCAGCAGAACACUUCUCGCUUGGAUUCCCCCCUCCAGAGUUCAGCUAUGAAAGGAUUAUUUUAUUCCAUGACCAUCAGCCCUGGGUUGGGAAGCGGCUCUCGUCGAGCAACGGCGAGCAGGGCUGAUUUUAAGACGCCAAGGUUAUUUACUUGCGCAAAGGAUAUAUAAUCUUAAGCAGCUGGACGCGGGAGCCGGCAGCGGCAGGGCCCACGCACCUAGGGACGAUGGCGGCUGGACGGCGUGGUGGAAGGUGGCGGCUGGACGGCGCGGUGGAAAGUGGCGGUUGGACAGGGCAGCGGAAGGCGGCGAGGGAGGAGCAGCUUCACCGACUCGGUCUGUGGAUUCGGCGCCGGUAGAUUGCUCCACGAGUGUCCAUGUAUAGAGCGAGUUUCAACUAACAGGAUUGAGCUAUAUGCCGAUGAGGUCUGACCAGGGGAUUGAGAUAUUUGAAGUGUGCACUGGAGUUAUUGGAAGAUAAUUCCAUCAAUGAAUUCAUAACUUUUGGGACAUAAUAAGUUUAGUGGCUACACCGAGAUGUAGAGUUUCUGCGGGAGCGUGAAGCUCGAUCUAAUUCCGCACCACGACUAUGGUUGCGUAUUUGUUGUUCCGUUGAUCUUUAUGUUGACUAGGGUUGUCCAAAAGCUUAAUUUGUCCAUUGAUUGGAAGGAUUUAGCUAUUGGAGAGGAGGGCGGCAGGAUAUUUAUGGUUGGCGUGGACGAGCAGGGGAGGCAGACCGCGGGAGGAAGCAGCGGUGAGGCUAGAGUUGCCGAGAUGCUGGCGGCGUGGACAAGAAGCAGCGGGGCUGGCUCUAUUCUUUAUCUUUCCCUGUGAUGGCCUUAAUCCGGAGGUUUGGUAUGAUUUGACUGUGGGAUAUUAUGGAUAUAACAGAUUAUCCUUACCUUCACUACGACCCUAUAUUGGCCAUUCGACACCUCACUCCAAAGGCACCGCAAUCCCCAGGCAAAUCAGCAUAAGCAUGGGCGGGAGGCUAAGCUGGCUGGCUGUGAUCGACUCCUUCAGGGGGACGCAUGGGCGCAGUUGCGGCAGCCCAAGAUGGAGAAGAAGAUGCACUGGCCUCCUUGAGGCGGAUGUGUAUUUUGGCAGCAGGAGGCUGCUGGUGCGGGGCGGCUGGGACGAGCUCGAGCGGGAGGGCAGCGGGAAGGCCGGCGGCGCUAGGGAAGCAGCAGUAGUAAUAAAAUAGUAAGGUGACAGAACUAAGAUUUGUUGCAUCGAUCAUGUAUUUCUUGUUGCGGUCUCUCGGAUUUUUGGUGAUAUGUAUGCUGCUCACCCCUCUUCUUUAAAUUCUGCUUUGUUGAUUAUUAUUGCCUUGCUAGGGUUAGGAUUAGGGUAGUAAUAUUUAUUUGUUGGGAUAAUUUGACUCGGAAGGAAAAUCAAGCUCUUUGACAUUUGUUGCUGUGAGAGUAAAACCUAUGCAUUUACCAGUGAUUUUGUACAUACUUAUACUUAUAUUGUUUACUGAAUUUUCUAUAUAUGUAUUUUGCUAAUGCAUAUAUAAUAUCUCGAAUCGAACU